GGGUUUGUAGCUCAGUGGUUGAGCAUUUGCCUUGCAUGCAUGAGGCACUGGGUUCAAUUCUAGCACCA
rfam:Ictidomys tridecemlineatus contig110024, whole genome shotgun sequence.